rnacentral:rRNA from 1 species
ACUCAAAGGAAUUGACGGGGACCCGCACAAGCGGUGGAGUAUGUGGCUUAAUUCGAUGCAACGCGAAGAACCUUACCAAGGCUUGACAUGCAUCUCUAAGCACGUGAAAGCGUGUGACCCGCAAGGGAAUUUGCACAGGUGCUGCAUGGCCGUCGUCAGCUCGUGUCGUGAGAUGUUGGGUUAAGUCCCGCAACGAGCGCAACCCCUGUGAUUAGUUGCCAGCGCGUGAUGGCGGGGACUCUAAUCAGACUGCCCAGAUCAACUGGGAGGAAGGUGGGGACGACGUCAGGUCAGUAUGGCCCUUACGCCUUGGGCUGCACACGUACUACAAUGCCCGGUACAAUGAGAACCGAUGCCGCGAGGUGGAGGAAAUCUAAUAAAACCGGGCCCAGUUCGGAUUGGAGGCUGCAACUCGCCUCCAUGAAGUUGGAAUCGCUAGUAAUGGCACAUCAUCUACGGUGCCGUGAAUACGUUCCCGGGUCUUGUACACACCGCCCGU